UGGGUUGUUGUUUUUUUGUUGUAUUUUUUUUUGUGAAUUUGCUUUCUUUGAUUAUUUGGUUAACUUUUUCUUUAAUUUUUAUUGUUUUUGUUUAUUGAAUUAAAGCGUCAAGGUUUUGUUCUGGCCAUUUUCAUCAGUUCUUUGCCGUCUAACCUCUUUUAGUUCAUUUUCAUCUUGGUUUAGUAAUCUUUCCGCCGCCUUUCAAUUUUUUUGGUGAGUGUCAAUUCGUUACUCUAGUUGUAAGUCAAAUUGGAAUUUUU
rnacentral:lncRNA from 1 species